rnacentral:rRNA from 1 species
AGAGUUUGAUCCUGGCUCAGGACGAACGCUGGCGGCGCGCCUAACACAUGCAAGUCGAACGGAGCUUAGAGAGCUUGCUUUUUAAGCUUAGUGGCGAACGGGUGAGUAACGCGUGAGUAACCUGCCCUAGAGUGGGGGACAACAGUUGGAAACGACUGCUAAUACCGCAUAAGCCCACGGUGCCGCAUGGCACUGAGGGAAAAGGAUUUAUUCGCUUUAGGAUGGACUCGCGUCCAAUUAGCUAGUUGGUGAGGUAACGGCCCACCAAGGCGACGAUUGGUAGCCGGACUGAGAGGUUGAACGGCCACAUUGGGACUGAGACACGGCCCAGACUCCUACGGGAGGCAGCAGUGGGGGAUAUUGCACAAUGGGGGAAACCCUGAUGCAGCGACGCCGCGUGGAGGAAGAAGGUCUUCGGAUUGUAAACUCCUGUUGUUGAGGAAGAUAAUGACGGUACUCAACAAGGAAGUGACGGCUAACUACGUGCCAGCAGCCGCGGUAAAACGUAGGUCACAAGCGUUGUCCGGAAUUACUGGGUGUAAAGGGAGCGCAGGCGGGAAGACAAGUUGGAAGUGAAAUCCAUGGGCUCAACCCAUGAACUGCUUUCAAAACUGUUUUUCUUGAGUAGUGCAGAGGUAGGCGGAAUUCCCGGUGUAGCGGUGGAAUGCGUAGAUAUCGGGAGGAACACCAGUGGCGAAGGCGGCCUACUGGGCACCAACUGACGCUGAGGCUCGAAAGUGUGGGUAGCAAACAGGAUUAGAUACCCUGGUAGUCCACACCGUAAACGAUGAUUACUAGGUGUUGGAGGAUUGACCCCUUCAGUGCCGCAGUUAACACAAUAAGUAAUCCACCUGGGGAGUACGACCGCAAGGUUG